AUUGAACGCUGGCGGCAUGCCUUACACAUGCAAGUCGAACGGCAGCACGGGAGCUUGCUCCUGGUGGCGAGUGGCGAACGGGUGAGUAACAUAUCGGAACGUGCCCUAGAGAGGGGGAUAACCAGUCGAAAGAUUGGCUAAUACCGCAUACGAUCUACGGAUGAAAGUGGGGGACCGCAAGGCCUCACGCUCGUGGAGCGGCCGAUAUCUGAUUAGCUAGUUGGUGGGAUAAAGGCCUACCAAGGCGACGAUCAGUAGCUGGUCUGAGAGGACGACCAGCCACACUGGGACUGAGACACGGCCCAGACUCCUACGGGAGGCAGCAGUGGGGAAUUUUGGACAAUGGGGGCAACCCUGAUCCAGCAAUGCCGCGUGAGUGAAGAAGGCCUUCGGGUUGUAAAGCUCUUUUGUCCGGGAAGAAAUCGUUUUAGCUAAUACCUAAGAUGGAUGACGGUACUGGAAGAAUAAGCACCGGCUAACUACGUGCCAGCCGCCGCGGUAACAC
rnacentral:rRNA from 1 species